GGUUUGGCAUAAGGGACUAUUCUUAGGGAACGUUUCUUCUCUUUCAACUGAAAAAUUGCAACUGGCAUCACUACUUUUGAUUUCAGGAUGCUCUCAGCUUCUGCCCCGAAACCCUGUCAUGCAACAAUACAGAAGCGUUUAAUCAAGAUCGUGCACCGAACUUCGCCAGAUGUCGGUGGUCUGCAUGAUGAUGGUCAGUGCUGUGGUGAAGAAGGGCUGUCCCCUAAUGUCCCAUAUAUUUUUAAGUGCAGCAAGAGAACAUCUGUUUGAAAAUCAAUCUAAGAGUGGAAGUUCCUUCAUCACAUGGUGUGAAAACAUCUGCUCUCCCAAUGUGAAGACUCAGUGAGUAUAGCCACAUCAAAAUAGCUCUGGCAAAAUUUCAGGUAUUCCUAUUGAAAUAUAAGAUUGGAGGGGGGGAGUGGAGAGGAGAGUUAAAUCAGCUGCCCUACUAUUUUUAUUUCCACUUUUUCUACACCCCUGGCAGAAAGAA
rnacentral:lncRNA from 12 species